rnacentral:rRNA from 1 species
AUGUCACUUUAUGAUUUUUGCCAGGUCUGUUUGAUACCCUUUGAGGGCAGCAUAGAGGAGCCACAUUGUAAUGAUGUGGAGGGAUUUAUUGAUAUGAUUGCUGUAGGGAAAACGAGGAAAGUUUCCGAUGCGAGAAUCACUAGCAUACAUUUUCCUGUUUUACGUUACUUCGCAAUAUUUGCUAGUAGAUGCUUAAUUGGUCGCGGGAACUGUGGGAACCUUAGUGCUCCUGAUAUUGCUAUUUUGCGCCAUGCCCUGUUUCAUGAUACUACUUUCAGCUUAGGCGCUAUUGUUGCUAGACGGUUAAAUCUGAACCGUACUAAGGGCCCCGUCCUCGGGGGCAUCUUUGCCUCGCGCCUUGCUGCACACUUUAACAUACCUAUCAGGCAUUAUGAGAAAGAGGAAAAGUUGCUGCCUCCUAUAGCUCUAGAUUAUAAAAGUAUGGUAGCACAUGAGUUUAUUGUUAAGGAUAGAAAUAAGACACUCAAAUAUAUAUUGAUAUUUAACAAAAAAUAUUGCGAGUUUAUUACCUUGCCUGUGCCCUCUUUGUAUGACAUAUUUUUAGGCAAGUACCUUGUUCCGCCGGAGGACAUUCAUGCCUACCGGAGCCAGAUGUCAGUUGUAGAGCCGAAGCCACCAUCUGACCCUCACCGUCAGUCUGUUUAUGAGUGGAAUUCGGAGGAGAUCGCCAGCCAGUGGCAAUCUGAGGACCCUUCUCAGUGCGACCCCAGCUACAACUUUGAUCCAUGGGCAUAG